AGGGUUUGAUCCUGGCUCAGGACGAACGCUGGCGGCGUGCCUAACACAUGCAAGUCGAACGGGACUCAGCCCUUCGGGACUGAGUUUAGUGGCGAACGGGUGAGUAACGCGUGAGGAACCUGCCUUUCAGUGGGGGACAACAGUUGGAAACGACUGCUAAUACCGCAUAAUGCUUUUUGAUGGCAUCAUUGAAAAGCCAAAGAUUUAUUGCUGAAAGAUGGCCUCGCGUCUGAUUAGCUAGUUGGUGGGGUAACGGCCCACCAAGGCGACGAUCAGUAGCCGGUCUGAGAGGAUGAACGGCCACAUUGGGACUGAGAUACGGCCCAG
rnacentral:rRNA from 1 species